UGAACGCUAGCUACAGGCUUAACACAUGCAAGUCGAGGGGCAGCAUCAUCAAAGCUUGCUUUGAUGGAUGGCGACCGGCGCACGGGUGAGUAACACGUAUCCAACCUGCCGACAACACUGGGAUAGCCUUUCGAAAGAAAGAUUAAUACCGGAUGGCAUAGUUUUUCCGCAUGGGAUAAUUAUUAAAGAAUUUCGGUUGUCGAUGGGGAUGCGUUCCAUUAGGCAGUUGGCGGGGUAACGGCCCACCAAACCAACGAUGGAUAGGGGUUCUGAGAGGAAGGUCCCCCACAUUGGAACUGAGACACGGUCCAAACUCCUACGGGAGGCAGCAGUGAGGAAUAUUGGUCAAUGGACGAGAGUCUGAACCAGCCAAGUAGCGUGAAGGAUGACUGCCCUAUGGGUUGUAAACUUCUUUUAUACGGGAAUAAAGUUAGCCACGUGUGGCUUUUUGUAUGUACCGUAUGAAUAAGGAUCGGCUAACUCCGUGCCAGCAGCCGCGGUAAUACGGAGGAUCCGAGCGUUAUCCGGAUUUAUUGGGUUUAAAGGGAGCGUAGGCGGGUUGUUAAGUCAGUUGUGAAAGUUUGCGGCUCAACCGUAAAAUUGCAGUUGAUACUGGCGACCUUGAGUGCAACAGAGGUAGGCGGAAUUCGUGGUGUAGCGGUGAAAUGCUUAGAUAUCACGAAGAACUCCGAUUGCGAAGGCAGCUUACUGGAUUGUAACUGACGCUGAUGCUCGAAAGUGUGGGUAUCAAACAGGAUUAGAUACCCUGGUAGUCCACACAGUAAACGAUGAAUACUCGCUGUUGGCGAUAUACGGUCAGCGGCCAAGCGAAAGCAUUAAGUAUUCCACCUGGGGAGUACGCCGGCAACGGUGAAACUCAAAGGAAUUGACGGGGGCCCGCACAAGCGGAGGAACAUGUGGUUUAAUUCGAUGAUACGCGAGGAACCUUACCCGGGCUUAAAUUGCAACUGACUGAACCGGAAACGGUUCUUUCUUCGGACAGUUGUGAAGGUGCUGCAUGGUUGUCGUCAGCUCGUGCCGUGAGGUGUCGGCUUAAGUGCCAUAACGAGCGCAACCCUUAUCGAUAGUUACUAGCAGGUCAUGCUGAGGACUCUAUUGAGACUGCCGUCGUAAGAUGUGAGGAAGGUGGGGAUGACGUCAAAUCAGCACGGCCCUUACGUCCGGGGCUACACACGUGUUACAAUGGGGGGUACAGAAGGCAGCUACACGGCGACGUGGUGCUAAUCCCGAAAGCCUCUCUCAGUUCGGAUUGGAGUCUGCAACCCGACUCCAUGAAGCUGGAUUCGCUAGUAAUCGCGCAUCAGCCACGGCGCGGUGAAUACGUUCCCGGGCCUUGUACACACCGCCCGUCAAGCCAUGAAAGCCGGGGGUACCUGAAGUACGUAACCGCGAGGAGCGUCCUAGGGUAAAACUGGUGAUUGGGG
rnacentral:rRNA from 1 species